GCCUGGGUGGCUCAGUCGGUUAAGUGUCUGACUUUGGCUCAGGUCAUGAUCUCGCAGUCUGUGAGUUCAAGCCCCGCAUCAGGCU
rnacentral:tRNA from 1 species